rnacentral:rRNA from 1 species
AUUGAACGCUGGCGGCAGGCCUAACACAUGCAAGUCUAACGAGUGGCGGACGGGUGAGUAAUGUCUGGGAAACUGCCUGAUGGAGGGGAAUACCACCUGGAAACGGUAGCUAAAACCGCAUACCGUCGAAGGGGCACAGAGGGGUGUAGCUUUUUGGUGGGGUAACGGCUCACCUAGGCGAAGAUCCCUAGCUGGUCUGAGAGGAUGACCGGCCAAACUGGAACGUAGACACGGUCCAGACUCCUACGGGAGGUAGCAGUGGGAAAUAUUGCACAAUGGGCGCAAGCCUGAUGCAGCCAUGCCGCGUGUAUGAAGAAGGCAUUCGGGUUGUAAAGUACUUUCAGCGGGGAGGCGUUACCCGCAGAAGAAGCGCCGGCUAACUCCGUGCCAGCAGCCGCGGUAAUAC